rnacentral:piRNA from 1 species
UAUGACUUUCACUACAGCGAU